rnacentral:lncRNA from 1 species
AACAGGUGAUACAAUUACAUCACUUUUAGUUUAACUUUCCCAAAAUAAGGUACAACAUACGCUAUCUCUACGGAGCGUCUAACAGAAACGAAAGAGUGUUACGACAACGUCGGCAACAAGACACCGACUACAACUCAAAAUGUUGUAUACAAGGGACAAGAGAUACAGAACCCUGGAAUGAAGUGGGGGUCACCAAGUCAGCUGAGGAGAGGGUGUACUGCUAUCACUGCUCAAUGCCGCCUACUAUGGAACCACCUGCAUCCAUUAAAGAUAUAGCGCCCUCGGCAAAAGCGACGUUAGUACAUAUGGAAUAGUACUAAUAUGAAAAACUAAACACCUCUCUAAUAGAACGAGUAGCAGUACAAUGAGAAAGAAACAUGGAAUCAAUGAGGGCCUCAAACAAUAUUAAAGUAUCAAGUUAGGAUAAAGGAUAAAUUUCAAGCAAGUUUCAAUAUUUUAAGUUGAGAGAUCUUUAGUACCGAUACACCACUGUACUUUUAGCACGGAGUCCGAUCUCAGCCCGAUCGGCUAAGCCGUCUCACCCCGAGACGUCGACUCACAAUACCACCAUGUGUCGGUAUGGCGUCCGAUCUCAGCUCGAUUGCUAAGCCGCCUCACCACAAUGCCGAGGGGGUUGACGUCACCUCCCAUUUCGCUAGCAAUCAUCUCAUCCCAUUUGAGGGGAAUUAUCUCAACACUUCAAUCGCAUUCAUAUUCGGGGAAAACUCUAACCACUUCACACAGAGAUUUUACCCCUCACUCACUCCUACACCGACAUGUGUAGUUUCGAGGUUAGGUUAUUUCAACCUACCCUUCUUCGGUGACUAAAACGAUACUCCCAAAGCAUUUAUUAUAUAAAAGGGUUUACAACUCAUUUCAUAAUUUUUCAUACAUCUUUCCAUUUUAUUGGCACUAGUGUCCACAAUUGUAAUAUUAUUCUUGGCACGUCGGCCACAUUUCAUAUUUCAUACUCGCCCUUAUGACUUUCAAACGUUACCAUGGAUUAUCAUUAAUAUUUCAAAUCAAACUUUAAGUACACAUAUGAUCAAACAAGCGUCUUAGGCAUAUUGAGUUUCUCUUCCGCAAUUAGGCAUACUAGCUUAUAAUUGAAACAUGAUUUUUUUCAAAACCUUUGGUACAUUGAUCAUACAAGAUUACAUCCUCAGAGGGAAUCACGAUAUGAUAGGAACAUUUGUGACACAUUUUUGGUACAUACAUCUUUUAGCACAACACUUAUUUUAGAAUUAUCAAAUCUAUUGGGAAGUACUCGGGACAUGAGACAUAACAAAUUAAGUCAACCAUAACCGCAACUUACAAAGACGUCAUGGAAAUUGAUUCUACCAAAGGAGUUUAGCCAACAUACCUUGUUUGUGCUUUCUUAAAUUACUACAAGAUUCCGAAACUCCUAGCGACUUCAAUCUAAUUAAAGAUACGACAAAAUUUAACUAUAAUUAGGAAGAUCUCGAGGUUUCAGCUCAUUAGAGCAUUUUAUCAAGAACAAUAUGUGCAUUAAGGUUUCAAGGUCCUCCUAUGGUGGGUUUUUGUCACGCCCCGAGCCCAGGUGCGAGACCGGCACCUAGUGCCUCAUUUAUCCUUGCAUACCAUUUGCGACUAAGAGACUCUGAACAUGUAAUGUCAUAUAUGGAGACUAACACUGACUAAUGUCAACAUAAAGCUGGGCCGGUAAGGCUGUCAUAAUUACUACAACUGACAGGCCAACAAAAUAUAUGUACAGGGCCUACAAGCCCAACAUACUGCACUAACUGACAGGAUAUAUCUACAAGCCUCUACUGAUAGAUGUAGUGUGAUUGGAACAGGGCCCCGACCUACCCUUAACCUAUCUACAUAUAUGCACAAGAUGUACACCAAACUGCUAGACCUGGGAACUCCGAAAGACGGGGAGCUUACCGAUAAGGCUGAACUCGGCAAAUACCUACUGAGGAGGUCUACCCGUCUUUAUGUCCGAACCUGCACCCAUGAAAUGCAGCCCCCCCCAGAAAGGGACGUCAGUACGAAAUAAUGUACCGAGUAUGUAAGGCAAUAUAUUGAAAGUUGAAACAGAACUGAUAACUUGAACAUAUGCUUAGCUGCUGAUACUGACUCAAUUCUCUCAAUAUAAUAAGUAAAAUAGCUGUCCGGACUUAUAACGCUCGGUAUAUAAAUAUAACUGCUCUGCCGUAGUAGGCUCGCUCAUAGACGCUCUGCCACAGUAGGCUCGAUGUAUAACUUACUAUCUGAUUAGAGAUUGCCCAAUAGGGGCUUGCCUAUCGAUUAUAGCUUGAUAGUGAUGAAAAUACUUUUAAUACUGUAUAUAUGUAAACUCUAUGCUCUUUUGACCGGAAGAAGGAAAUACUUAAUUGAAUAUGCAGUCCCGAUAAAAAGAAUAUGGUAACUUACAAAACUAGAAAAAUAUAUGUAAUUUGCGAGACUAGCAAAAUAUACGUAAAUUCCGGAAUACGAUUUUUUCUUUAUGCCUCGUUAUCAAACUUGUGUAAUUAUGAUAUUAUGCUAAAACGAAGGAAAAGCUUAGCCUUAACAUACCUGGAGUAGGAAAAAUCCCAUAUAAUAUUUUGUUGGAAAACCUUCAUUGAUUGAACAAAAUUUUUCCCCUUCUCCUUAGAAAUUCACGGACGAAAUUUGUUUCUGGUUCCUAAAAAACUUGGAACGAAAUAAUGUUUUCAAUUUCAAAGAAAACGUUUUCUAGUUCUUUGUUUGGAAGGAAUAACGUUUCUC